UACGGAGGGGGCUAGCGUUAUUCGGAAUUACUGGGCGUAAAGCGCACGUAGGCGGACCUGCAAGUCAGAGGUGAAAUCCCAGGGCUCAACCUUGGAACUGCCUUUGAAACUGCGGGUCUUGAGUUCGAGAGAGGUGAGUGGAAUUCCGAGUGUAGAGGUGAAAUUCGUAGAUAUUCGGAGGAACACCAGUGGCGAAGGCGGCUCACUGGCUCGAUACUGACGCUGAGGUGCGAAAGCGUGGGGAGCAAACAGG
rnacentral:rRNA from 1 species